rnacentral:rRNA from 1 species
GACGAACGCUGGCGGCGUGCCUAACACAUGCAAGUCGUACGGAGUUCACUUGGAAGCUUGCUUCCGAGUGAACUUAGUGGCGGACGGGUGAGUAACGCGUGAGCAACCUGCCUCACAGAGGGGGAUAACACACGGAAACGUGUGCUAAUACCGCAUAAUCCGAUGAAGCGGCAUCGCUUUAUCGGCAAAGGAGCAAUCCGCUGUGAGAUGGGCUCGCGUCCGAUUAGAUAGUUGGUGAGGUAACGGCUCACCAAGUCUACGAUCGGUAGCCGGACUGAGAGGUUGGACGGCCACAUUGGGACUGAGACACGGCCCAAACUCCUACGGGAGGCAGCAGUGAGGGAUAUUGCACAAUGGGCGAAAGCCUGAUGCAGCGACGCCGCGUGAGGGAUGACGGUCUUCGGAUUGUAAACCUCUGUCCUUGGUGAAGAAGAAAGUGACGGUAGCCAAGGGAAGCCACGGCUAACUACGUGCCAGCAGCCG